UACGAAGGGUGCAAGCGUUACUCGGAAUUACUGGGCGUAAAGCGUGCGUAGGUGGUUUGUUAAGUCUGAUGUGAAAGCCCUGGGCUCAACCUGGGAAUGGCAUUGGAUACUGGCAGUCUAGAGUGCGGUAGAGGGCAGUGGAAUUCCCGGUGUAGCAGUGAAAUGCGUAGAGAUCGGGAGGAACAUCUGUGGCGAAGGCGACUGCCUGGACCAGCACUGACACUGAGGCACGAAAGCGUGGGGAGCAAACAGG
rnacentral:rRNA from 1 species